rnacentral:rRNA from 1 species
AAGUAAAGCAAUAGCAGAUUGCAUUUAAAUGUAAUUACUACUUGGUAGUUUAAAUUUCUAGGUAGAAUUAUGAUAAUGACGUUAUCUAUCUAUUAGUCUUGACCAAAUUACGUGCCAGCAGUCGCGGUAAUACGUAGAAGACAAGUGUUAUUCAUCUUUAUUAGGUUUAAAGAGUACCAAGACGGUUAAUAAAGCCCAAAAUAAAAUACAGGGGACACAUUAACUAGAGUUAUAUGAAAAGAAGCUCUAAGGUACUGUUGAGUGAAGAGAUGAAAUUUUAUGAUACCAGAUGAUUGGCACAGAUUUAUGCGAAGGCAUCUUCUUAUGUAAUAACUGACGUUGUAGGACGAAGGCUUAGGGUGUGAACAGGAUUAGGUACCCUAGUAAUCUAGGCAGAAAAUGAUGAAUGUCAUAGGUAUAAUAUGUCUAUAAAUGAAAGUGUAAGCAUUCCACCUCAAGAGUAAUUUGGCAACAUUGGAACUGAAAUCAUUAGACCGUUUCUGAAACCAGUAGUGAAGUAUGUUGUUUAAUUAGAUGAUACACAAGAACCUUACCACAAUUUGAAUAUAUAUAAUAUAAUGUAUUUACAAGCGCUGCACGGCUGUCUACAGUUAAUGUCGUGAGAUUUUGGUUAGCUCCAUAAAAUUGACGUAAACCCUAAUUUUAUUUAUAAAUAUAAUUAACAUCGCUAUAUUUGAUGUUUAAGAGGGAACA